CCAAUUGUAAUAAUUUCCUUUCUCUCUCUCUCUCUUCAUUAAGAAAUGAGCCAAGAGAAAGAUAAGUAUAUAGCUGAUAAGUACAAUGCUCAAUAUAUUCAUUAUAAUCGUUAAACAUACAAUUCAAUGGCAAAAAAAAAAAAAUUAAAUAACUAAGAGGAGAAAUAAUACAAAAAAAACUACGUUCAUUCAAACAUUUAUUUAGCCAUUAUUAAUAAUUAUCUUCCAAGCCUUUAUUUUAGCUUCCAGUAAUUUGAGAAAAAAAAAAAGGAAAAAACGCUUAAAGGAUGAAUCAUAAAUUCUAUUGCAUCGCAAUUUUUAUCUAACACAAGGGAAAUAACGGGAAUCAUUCAUAAAAAACUAAUGGCUGCUAAUCAGGACUAUGGUUGUGAAGAAAGUUUAUUACUUUGCACGUCGUGUCAUAAAACGGAUGAGGAUAUGGUCACUAUGAAAACCUGAAAAGUAGCUUUAUGACUGUAAAACGAGAUGACUUGUAAAAUAAUUAGUAGUCAAUAUACGAAUUUUUUUUUAUAAAAACUUAGGUGAAAAUCACUUAUACUCGAUUUAGAAUUUUGUUACUCCGUCCUUCGAAUUUUGAAUUGAAAAUUUGUAUAAAUUUAUUAAACAAAAUAUCAGCGUCCUAACGAAAUCAUAUUUUAAUCGUUUGCGAGUGAUAAAUCUUUUCGGACAAUAUCUACAAAGAAAAAACUAUUUCGAGCCUUUCUUCUUGGAUAAAUAAUUACAGAAUUUGUGAUAACCUGAUUACAAGAUUCACUUUGAAUAACUCCACGAACAAGCAUAACGAAUACAAUUCUUAACCAAUAAAUAAAACCAAGCCUGAAUUACAAGAUGAUCGGAAGAUAUCUACCCAACUUUCGACCCACGUUAAAUCUUCGAACUCUACGAAAUCUUAUUAAAUAAAUCGUUACAAAUUUUGAAACCAAAAUUUUUCCAAAUUCGACACAAUCGAUACAAACUCUCCAAGAUUGCUCGCAGAGGAACGGGAUCACCCCUUCCUACGACGCACACAGUACCCCUCCCCCUCCCUCCAUGUCCGUGGAAUGUAAAUUUCACGACAGGAGCGCGGCCGAUGAUUUUCGACGUAGCAAAAACCAUCUCUCCUUCCCAGGAGGAUGGAUCCUCCUAACCAUAAAGCCAUUCUUCGAGGUUAGAGAGAAAGAGAGAAAAAGAGAGAAGGAAAGCAUUUGAGGGGAGUAUCGUCGCGAGGGGGAGGGGAAAAAAAUGUAAGGAUCCGAAGGUCUCCUGAUGAGAGGGACGCAGGACGUCGACCUCGUCGGCCAAGAGAGCUGGAGGUUUACACGCCUAAUAAAUUACUGUAAACUGGAGCCCUGAGUCGUAGCCGAGGGUUUGCACGAAUAGUAGUUAAGUGAGCCGGUGAUUUGUGCGAUAUCGUCCAUCGUCCCUAUCAGCCCCUGGAAUCGGAUGCACGGUUGAAUCUUCCCCAGUAAUUUUAUCCCGGUUGAAGGUUCAAGUUCCCUCGACUCGUGGAUUCCGUUUCCCCCUUACUACCGAUUCGGAGAGAGGAUCGAGGUCGCGCACCAAUAAUAAUUCCACCGAAAAUAGAAAAAUUCCCUGCGUCUCCUGGUGACCAAUAUUUUUUCCCUCACCUUCCUUUUGGAAAUUCCGUUUCCACGUUCGACGAAUUUUUCGCAUACUUCGAACUUGAUCCGAGAGAAAUUAAAAUUAAAAUUAAAAUUCGAAGAUUUUGUAAUUGUAAAAUGGAAUUUUCGCGUUGAUGGAAGAUAUAUAUGUGUUAUGCGUUUCAACAGAAAGGGUGUGAAAAAAUAUCAUCCGGGAGGGAGAUGAGGGUGCGCAGAAGAAAUAAUCCGCGACGAAAGCGCGGAGCGAAAGCUACCUCCUUCAUAAAUCAUAGUAAUCAGCUUACGACAGCGUGCAAAAACCGAUGGGUGAAUUUUUUCCAAGUUUUUCCUUACGGACGCGUGACCAGAGGGACGAAAUGAAGACAUUGAGGGCGAGCAAGAAAAGAUUCUCAGAGAGUCCCCUCAGAGAGGGUGAAUCAAACUCGAGAGAGGACAAGAGCGGGGAAUAUCGUUGGUUGGCUGCUUAUGAAAUUGUAAUUCGAUCUUGGUUUAUACUCUCGAUCGACCAACGAAGCGAAAGAUUUUAAUUUCAGCAGAUGGAAGGGAAAAAAUUCGCGUUUACAAGUCGGGGAAAAGAAGGUGAAUCUUUCGACAUUUUUUUCUAGAUUAAAUUCUUAUAUGCUUUAUAGUUGUCAUCAGCUUUUGCUACUGUUUCCAGUAAAUUCUGGGAGAAGAAAGAAAAUGCUUUGGUGCCCGACAAUAUGAUAAAAUUGCAGAUAAUUUACUGUAAAAAGAAGGACAAAGAAAUUUAGUUUGGUCUUUUUACUCGUGGAAAUAUAAUAAGGAAAGAAAAGCUGAAUUCAAGGAUAAUUUAUCGGCUAUAAUCCUUUCCUGAUAUCACAUAAAUUUUACCGAUACUCAUCGGAAGAUAGAAUACUCGUUUGAUCAAGAUAUCGAAGCAGGUUAUAGUUUCUAAAGAGUUUUUGUCGUGCAAUGAUCCUUUGAACGUUUAUUAUUACAGAAAUUUGAAUAUAGAAAAAGAUUGAUAGUAAGAAAGUAAAAUUAUACUUGCGUUAUAAAUAACAAUAUAGUAUGAAAAAGUCUCUAAUGUUUUUCUCUACUUAAUUAAUAUUUCUCGAUAAAAAAAGCUCACUCCUGAAUUUAAGAAAAAUUAUUUGCAAAAGAAUUCGAUUAGACGCUCGUACCGAUAUGUAUGGCAGUAAAAACCGUAAGAAAGAAAUCAAAGAUAGAAAUCAAGUUUUUUUUGUUCCAUAAUAAACCGUUUCACAGGUAUGAAACGCGUGUCAUUCUAAUUACAGAGUCAUUUCGCGGAAAUAACAGAAUCACGGGUGGCGAAACGCGUAAAAAAUUCUUGGGUUUGGACCUUUGUCGAUCUCCAAAGCAGGCUAAAGUGCGAAGGAAAGUUCUGUGACCACAAGUCACGCCAAUUUAACAUGUCUACUGCGAGUACUACUGGCCUGCAAACUCCACGCUCUACUGCUUUGUUCGGUUGGCUGCAAAUCAUGCUAGUUUUAACACCGAUACAAUGUCCAACAACACAAUCGAGAAUAAAAAACGCCAGCACUGUUGUUGGCUGAUAAGAAAUAAAUUCUGCGUUAAGGAUCUUAUUGUUAGAGCAGAAAAUUUUAAUUCAAUUUUAUUUAUCGUGCAAAUUAUUGUUUUCGCAAUGGAAAAUUUACUAAAAUGUUAUAACGGAUAUUUUAUUUUGCAUAUUAUUCUUUUUUUUUUUCUGUUUAUUUUAAAAUCUUUUAAAAAUUUGAAUCUCAAGGUCUUUCGUGGAAAUAUAAUUAAUUCAAUUUUUGUCCAAGAGUGUUUACGGUUUCCAAGUAAAGAAUCUCGAGGAUCGCAAGGAUGGCUUUUUUAAAUCACUUCGAAGGAAUUUGGCCGGACAAGCUAGACUCCAUUCUAAACAAAGCGAGGAUGUUUUAGCAGACGUGCUCCCGCAAAUAACUGCUCUCCCUAAAUUUCAAAUAACGGUCAUUAUCCUUGUACGAAUAUCGUGAACCUACAAAAAUGGACGACAAUAAAGGAGCAAUUACACUCUCCUGUCUGCGAUUCGUCUGCCUGCGGUUAACCAAUUGUCUAAUUUCCUCCGGACGAUAAAAUCUUAAGAUACGCUUUUGAACCGAUGAUUUCUAGGAUUGAUCCAUCUACAAUAUUAGAAAGAAAAAUCAAGUUGAUAUUGUCCGGCUUUGAAAAUUAUUUUAACUUUAAUCUCGAAUCUUUCUUCGAUAUAUAAUUCUCCUACGAAGGGAACAAUUAUCUAUUAUUUUCACGAUUACUAUUUAAAAAAAGCAGCAACACAGCCUUGGACCUCACUUUUUCGUGAUAAGAUUAUUUUCGAAACAUUUCUAAUGCCACGUUCACUCGUGGAAAUAAAAAAGAAAUAUAUCUUCGGUGAAGAUUAGACCUUGAAGAUUAUCCUCUAAAUCGAAAUAAUUAUCAUCGUCGAUGCUUUACAAUUAUUCCUCGAAAUUACGUGCGAAAGCGUAAUCGCGAUUCCACGUAAUUAAAAACCUAUUCGAGGUGGAAGUUAAGUUUACUAACUUGUUUGCCCCACGUUUAGGCGCGCCACCUUUUCCAUAUAAUUAUCUCGAGCGUACAUUACUUCAAGUUUUAUUCCUAUCGAGAUUAAUACGUGAAGUUGUGCCGUAUAGUACAACUGCUGGUGUGUUAUUACGUUGCAAAAAAUUGAUUACUAUAAUGACAGUAAAAUUCUGUAUGUAAUAUAUUAAUUUUAAUAAUAACCACCAUGCAUCAACAACAAUCAUACUUUUUAUCCGUGUUAACUGUUUAAAAAGGAUCGAGAAUAAUUUAUUGUAAUCUUUUUCGUCAUUUUAGUGAUAUAAUAAAUUUAUAUUUCGCUGUUAUUAUUUAUUUAACAAAAAUAAAAGUGAUAAAUUAUUUAAAGAAAUGGACAGAUAAAUAUAAUUGGAUUUCGUUUCGAUCGAUAUUGAAAAUGAGAAGAUUUGAGAGAAAAAAGACGUGAUGAUUUUAGAAAUGGUAAAAAGAAUUAGAAACGGUAAAAUUCUAAAUUGAAGAAAAAAGUAUCUCACUUUUUAUCUUUGCUCUAUAUUGUAUAAUAAUAUUAGGAAAUAUUAACAAGAAAAAGAAACAGCAAUAGUAUCGUUGUGCAAUGAUAUUCGAUGGCAAAGAAAAAAACGUGCAACCAUAGCUGUCGCACCGUGUAAACGAGGCAUAAGGUUCUGUGAAAAUCCAUCAUCCGGAGAUGUAGAAACGGUUUCGAAGAAACUAUUUCAAAUUACAACCGGCACUUCUGUUAAAACACAAUGGAUCUUUGACAAGAACUAAAUAAGGGCUUUGAAAGGAAAUCGUGGCUUAUAUGAAAUAUCACAGAUCCGGUUGAAAUUGCGUGAAAAAUCCUCGAAAUCAUUAUGAAAUCAGGAAGACAUAUAUUACGUAUCAAGAUGUAUCAAUUUUACAGUGCAUCUUGCGUAUCACAAAGUAUGAAUCUUACGGUACCUCAAGAAAUAUGGAUCUUACGGUGAAUCAGUGAUUAACGGUGAUGAUACGAGUUCUAAUCACGGCACAUUUUGAUCCCACCGCAUUGAUAUGGAGUUAUAUACGUUACAUACAUAAUUAAACAUUUUCCUCUCCGUUACGUGCCAAACAAAAUUUUUUUCUCAACUUUGUAGCUCAACCUUUACACAUUUUUAUAUCUUUUUAAAAUUAUACGACUUGAAAUUUGAUAUUAUAUAUGCCUGCUACCUUUUCGAUUGUAGAAAUUUAUUUUUUAAAAAAAAAGAAAAAAAAUUAUUGGUUCCGUUUCGUUAAAAAUUUUCUAAUAAUAAAACAAUUCGAUUUGAAAUUAUGCAUUGAAACACGAAGGCAAUCGGGGUGAGGCGUUCGCGGGACAUUUAAAACUGUCAGAUAGGAAAGAUAACAUCUGGAAUCAAGCGUAGCAUUGUCGAUUUCAUUGAAAAGAGAGAAGGUCUCCUUUCACGAGUCAGGGAAAAAUCCUUUGGCCGGAAUUAAUUCCUGAAGAGCGUUACAAUGUGACGUGUAUCUUGAAGGCGCACCUGGAUCACACGAACAUCUGGUUCCUCGUGGGGAUAACAACCUUAGCCAUGGAUUCCUUCUGCGAUUCACUGACAAUGAGUCCAUUUACGGUUCUUAGACGAGGGGGAGGGGAAGGUUGCAUGGCUUUAUUCAACGCCCCUGUUCUGAAACUUAAACCCGGACACGUGCUGAAAACACGUCCCGCAAUGCGUUCCGUUUCGCAAUGCAUCGCUGCGUACCAAACGUGGGCCAGUAAUGCGUCACUUCCGAUUACUGGGGUCCAACGUUAAGUUAAACUGAAUCAUUUCAAUCUUGCGCAACGUCCUCACGUGAUUUAGGAAAUACAUGAUUUUUCCGUAGAAGUGUGUAUUGUCGGUAUAAUGCUGAAAAUAUUCCAACCUAAUAUUCUAACCUAUUAUUCAUCAUCGUAAAACUCGUUAUACCUCUCUUCGAAUGAACUUUUAUUUUCCUCGAUACCGUUUUAAUUUCCACAGACGCUGAUCGUAAUGUUUCAUCCGCUCGAAUGCAAAAUCGAAGGGAAAAAAGCGGAUUAUUAUUAUUGUUAUUAAGCUGACAAUGACUUUGACACGAAAUCCCUUCUCAGAGGAAACAUUAUAUCCCCUUGAAUAAUUAAUCGAAAAGCUAUGUAAUUACAUCAUUAAAUCGCGUAAUCUCAUGAUAGCGUAUACUCUAAUUAAGAAGUCGAGGAAGUCGAAGGAAAAGGAAUUUCUACCGGGUUCUGCGACUCGUUCUACCCCUCUUUUCAAGAAGCUACUUUUUCAAAUAGACUUUUCCAACGGAUACGGCAAUCUUCUGUUCGAUUGUAAUCUGAAUGCAACGCGAACAUGCGAGUCGCGUUGGCUAUGUCGGAUACGGGCGUGGAAAUGGAAAGUGGAGGAAGCCCGUUUGUGCAAUUCUUCGUUGAUUACGAGGAAUAUACGCGUUUGCAACGUUUCUUUUCCGGAGUGCACGCUCCCCUGUAUAUCCUGUGUACAAACCGAGAAUGAGAAAUCACACUCGGUUUCUACUGAAAUUUAUUUAAACGUAGUUUCUAAACUGACUUCAACAACAUAUCUUUCGUUCAAACGUGAUCUCUUGCGAAUUACUUUACUAAGUAAUAAUAUUAACAAUUUGACACAUCGUUUCUAUUACCUCGGAAAAGAAUUUUUUCAAAUUACAAUUAAAAGCAAAAACUUUCUCAAACCUAUUCUCAAAUCCUAACCUAACUUUCACUCGUCCAAAUGUACAUUCCAUGUUCGAACAUCCACGUGAGAAAGAAACUUUACAGUGAUUAAAAUCGAAAGAAAAAAAGAAAAGAAAAGAUGUAAAAAUUUAGGUCUCUUCAAGACUAGGAUCGUCUAGAAUAAUCGAAGCAUUCCAAUUCGAUGGGCAUGGAGGCGCUCGUGUUCACUAGCAAGCGCACACGGUCCUUAAAGGCCGGAUUCGAUGCGCAGCAUGCGUGCAUUCGCAUCGGGGCGGCAUUCUUAAAUCAAUUAGCGACGACCAAAAGAACCAGCCGACCUUCGAUCAGCCGACCACUCGGCUACCGUGUCCCCGUUGCCGUGGCUCGCUGCUAUUACCGCCGCGGGGCGCGCGCCUGGUAUCUUUGUCGAACUUUGGAACGCUUUUUGCGGACGAACCGAAACACGUCGGUGUGUAUUUCCUUCCUACUAAAUGGCUACAUCCUUCGUCCUUCUUCGGAAGACCACCAACCGCGAACACGGUGGAACGCGAAUCCCCGAUUUAUUUGAAGUCUCUAAGCCAGCUUUUUCCCCGCCUCCACGGGACGCCAAUGACGGUGACCUAUGUACGUUUCGAGAUAGUUCUGGAUAAGCUUAUGUUGAGAUCUUUCAAUGACAUUAUUACGACUUGUUACAGGGGAAAAUUUUUAAGAGUAUAAUAUACAAUCGAAAAUACGCGUGGUAUUUUAGAGCAAUGCACGGUGCAACUUAACCUCUGAAUCGACCAAAAAAAUUUUGCUUGUACAUCAUUCUUUGUAAAAAUGUAAAGAGAGAAUUUAUAGGUUAUUCGAGCAUCAUAAAAGGAAUGUUACGAUUCGAGGAAGAUUGAGAAUUACUGGUCUAGAAUGUAAUGUUAUACCAAUCGAAAAGUGUCAAUUUGACUCGAAGCGAACAACGCGGAAUUCUCGUUAAAAUUUAGAGCGUCGUAAUUUUGUAUUACGCAUCGAUUCCCGUAAUUCCUUCAGCACCGAAGCGUAUGCAAUAUACGUUACUCCUCUUGGAAGUUCGUAAAUUAGCAAGGAGAACGGAACGAUACAUUAUACGCGUUACUUACGAUUCACAAAACAAAAUAGAAAAUACAAAACGCGGAAAGCGUAAAAUUGCCAUUUAUCGGCAAAUCAUGCGUAAAUUCUGAACGCCCACCGGUAUUCGAACGCUGGAAACGUCGCAGGCGCACUAGUUCCUGAAGACGUAGCAUGGAAGCCCGUUACGAAUGACAUAACGGCAACUUCGAUCUUGCGCCAGCAUGGAGAAAACGAGGCAAAACACGGAUAAUGCCUCGGACCGCGGCAGUACCAGGAAGGGACGAUAUUUCGUUUCUUCGUCGGAUCGUUGCGGUCGAUUCCUAGAUCAGCAAAGGGGACAAAUCGAAACGGAAAAAUAAAACGAACGGUGAUGAGGAUCAGGCAAAAGGGCUAUCGUGAACGAACGGUCGUGAUCCAGCCACAGUUCUUGGGGAACAAGAGAAAAAAACGCAGCUAAGAAACACGCAAACUGAAAUUAUUUUGAUGAUCUGCGUUUCGAACGGGCAGAGAAAAAUAUUUAUCUUAGAUCAUUAAACAAGUAUUUCUCAGAAUUGUCUUCUACAAAUUGGUUAGUAUAGUUUUUCAAUAAUUAAUACGAAUUUAACAAACAAAAAAUUCAUAGACUACUUUCUCCAAUGUAAUGGUCUAUUAUUUCAAUUUUAAUUAUUCAUCCUAAUAAUUAUGUAAUAAUUCAUGCGAUGCUAAUCUUCUAAAAGAGCUCAAAAUAAAAUCAAAAAGAAAAAGAAAGGAAAAUGAACAAAAAUAAUAGGAAAAAAAAGCUAUUGUCUCCAAAAAUAAAUCAAAGAGAAAUGCAAUAACCUGUCACAUUCCGAAGACUGGCGGCUCUCGCAAGCGUAGUCCAAAGAACGCGACCAAUUAUAGCCAGAAGAAAACCGAACGGUUUCCGGCGUGUUCCAUUGGAAAUUGCAUGGCAUUCGCUAAUUGCCCGGCAGAAGCUCGCUCGUGCACACGCAUCGAUGCCUUUCCCCCUACUAGAAGGCCGGCAGAAAUCAAAAGACCAGGUCUCUCUGGUAACAUUUUAGGUCCGUUUAAACUGUAUCGUAAUUACUCGAAUCUCCGGCGUAACUCGUGGCGGCUAUAAUAACGCGAGAUAAUUUUAUAUGCAUAACGCAUAUCGGUUAGCGGACGAUACCAGGCCACACACCGCAUUCACUGGCGCGGUUAACUAUAAUUUAAAAGCGUCUUGUUAUAUUUCUUCUCACGUUUCUCGUUACCCAUCGCACACACCAACGAUAUAACCUAUACAGGACGGUAGUUUUUCCUUAUGCACAUGCAUAUCACUACUAACCGAGGAUGAAAAUGCGCGUGCGCACGCAUGCGCAUGAGGGUGUAAUAUAAUUCAGCGCCUCGCCCGGCGGAUGGCGGAUGGCGGAGCCUUUCGUUCGACCGAUAUAACGCGCGAAUUACUUGCACGUAAUAUACUGCGAAACAAAGCCCGUUAACGUCAUGAAACGAAGCAGGAUAAUUGAGUACUCGUACGAAACGACUGUUAAUACGGCCAACCGUUUUUACGCGCGCCAAACUUGAACGUAAAUAUAUUCGUCCGGAGCGAUAUCUGAAAAUACUCGAGCUGAUUUAUGGGUUGGAUCAACUGUGAGAAUAUAUCAAUCUAUACUGAGUACGUUAUUAAAUGUAAUGUGAAAACUUGAUAUGCACCUACGUUGUGUUUGGAGGUGCUGCCAUUUAAUACUGAAAAAAUAAUGAUAUAUUAUAAAUUUUAUUUUAUCAAUUUAUUUAUACUAUAUUUAUACUAUACAAUUACUGUACUAUACUUAUAUAAUUUAUACUAUAUAAAGGUAAUUUCCAAUCCAUGAUUUAAUAUACCUUUUAAAAGUUAAAUCAAAUACAAUUAUUAUUUUUCUUUUCUGUAAAUCAAAUAAUAACCAUAUAACGUAAAUUUUCUAUUAAUUAUAAUCAACGACAAAAUAAAGAAAAACAUUCUAUAUAAAAAUUAUAA